rnacentral:rRNA from 1 species
GAUGAACGCUGGCGGCGUGCCUAAUACAUGCAAGUCGAGCGAAUGGAUUAAGAGCUUGCUCUUAUGAAGUUAGCGGCGGACGGGUGAGUAACACGUGGGUAACCUGCCCAUAAGACUGGGAUAACUCCGGGAAACCGGGGCUAAUACCGGAUAACAUUUUGAACCGCAUGGUUCGAAAUUGAAAGGCGACUUCGGCUGUCACUUAUGGAUGGACCCGCGUCGCAUUAGCUAGUUGGUGAGGUAACGGCUCACCAAGGCAACGAUGCGUAGCCGACCUGGGGGGGUGAGCGGCCACACUGGGAAUGAGACACGGCCCAGACUCCUACGGGAGGCAGCAGUAGGGAAUCUUCCGCAAUGGACGAAAGUCUGACGGAGCAACGCCGCGUGAGUGAUGAAGGCUUUCGGGUCGUAAAACUCUGUUGUUAGGGAAGAACAAGUGCUAGUUGAAUAAGCUGGCACCUUGACGGUACCUAACCAGAAAGCCACGGCUAACUACGUGCCAGCGGCCGCCGUAA